rnacentral:rRNA from 1 species
UUCCAGCUCUAAUAGCGUAUAUUAAAGUUGUUGCAGUUAAAAAGCUCGUAGUUGGAUUUUGCAGGAGGGCGCACGACCGGGCUUUGCUCAGGCCGCGCGCCUACCUGUUUUUUGUCGGGGACUACGCCACUCUUAACUGGGGGGCGCUAGGACGCGGCUCGUUUACUUUGAAAAAAUUAGAGUGUUCAAAGCAGGCCUUUGCUUGAAUACAUUAGCAUGGAAUAAUGGAAUAGGACCUUGGUUCUAUUUUGUUGGUUUCUGGAACCGAAGUAAUGAUUAAUAGGGAUAGUUGGGGGCGUUUAUAUUUCCAUGUCAGAGGUGAAAUUCUUGGAUUUUGGAAAGAUAAACUUCUGCGAAAGCAUUCGCCAAGGAUGUUUUCAUUAAUCAAGAACGAAAGUUAGGGGAUCGAAGACGAUCAGAUACCGUCGUAGUCUUAACCAUAAACUAUGCCGACUAGGGAUCAGUGGACGUUAUUUUAUGACUCCAUUGGCACCUUGUGAGAAAUCAAAGUUUUUGGGUUCCGGGGGGAGUAUGGUCGCAAGGCUGAAACUUAAAGGAAUUGACGGAAGG